CUGUAGCACCAUCACGGACUGGGACCUCUUCAGCCAUUUCUUCCUGCUGUGAUGCUCUAACUCCUCUCUCCCCACCAGGAACCUGGGAUUGCUGAGCCUUGAUUUGUCCCAGGGAUGCUGCCUCGUGCGAUGCUGAAGGAGCCGGAGCAUUCUCCUGCUUGGUGCAGGCCCUUGCCCGCCCGCCCCGAGCCUGGUGAUGCUCUGGGGCCUGCAGCCCACCCUCACCUUGCACUCGGCUGCCCUUCAAAUUACUGCAUACAGCAAUUCUCUUCUGCUUGAGCGUCCGCCAGCAGGUCCCCAGGAGGUGAUGCUUUGGAGACAGCUCCGGAAGCUUGGUCAUGAACCUGUGAUGACCAACAGCUUUCUGAUGGUGGUGGAGGUAGGGAAUCUUCUUCUAUGGAGCAAAGCCCACAUUGGGGCUGGAUGUUUGCGGCUUUCAGUGAUGUUUUGCUGUCUUGGGUGCACUUGAGAUGCCUCCUGCAGCCGUGGCCAGGGAGGGAAACCUGUGUGCUGAAGUAAAGUGAGAUCCUGGGGUGCGUUCAGGCUUUUUAGCUGCAGUCAGGGCCGUUGGGGCUCUGUCGGCUGCUGCCUCAGAGGUGCCCGAUCCAUCAACACCUCUGACAGCUCAAGGUUUUGCUGUGGGUCUCCCUUGCACUUCAAGCCAUGACUUUGCUUGAUGGUUUUCCCCCCGCCCCCUGGUUUGGUCUGGGACUGGUACCCAAAGUGAGAGUACUGCCAGAGGUGCUGCAUCCCCAGCCUAAAUCCCUGUAUCAUGAAGCCGCCUGGCCAAAGAUACCCAGAUUGAGUCUGCCCAGUGCAGGGGACAGCGACAACCCCUUUGUCCCCACCCCAGCUCACCCACCCGGCUAUUAUGGGUUCUCACAGAUCACUUGGCACGGGGCCGUGGUGUGGUAUGGCCGGGUUUGCACUGUAACCUCUUAUUACAAAACCCUCAGCGCUUCUCGGGAUUGUUUCGCCUGUUAUCAUCUUUCCCACAAUGCGCUUGCAUGAUCCUCUCUCAGACUUAACCACAUGGCAACCACAUCACAUAAUGCAACUUCUGUUCUGAGAUUAUUCAUAUUUCCCCCCCCUUCCCCAUUGUUGCUUUGCCAAGUUUUUCUUCUCAUUCUGAGAAGCUGCAUUUAAAAGAGCAGUGUCUCCGGUGCAAGGACAUGCUUAGGAGGCAGCGUGAGCAAAUCAACUCGACAAGUGUGUUCACAGGAGUCAAACUGGGGAGGGGGAGCUGUGAAAAAGCAAAACAAAAGCCCCUCCAAAUGUCUAUUUUUAUUUUAUUUGGUUCCCUGGAAUGUCUCAUCACAUGGAAUAACAAUGCAUCCCGGCACGGAGACUGCAGACAGGCUCCACUGAAAGGGCAGCUGAGGGAAAGAUUGCUUUAUAAGUAGGUUUUUAUAUGCAAUCUAUCACCAGUGCCAGCUCCCAGCAGAACAGGAUAAACGACAAAGAAAGGGCUGUGCUAACUGGAGUGUGUGUUUGCAGUCGUGCUGCUGAGGAGAGCUGCCUGUGUCCCCAUAUCCCUGUGUCCCCAUAUCCCUUGUGACACGGAGGGGAUGGGGCCUGGGUACUGCUCUGGCUCCAGCUCCAGCUUCCAGGGGAGGAUGCAAACGGCUCGGAUCUGGUCCAGAGGGGAGGGAGAGCAAGUGAGGUCUGGGAAAUGUGAUUGCUGUGAAGUUGGGGAGGAAUGAGGUUGUUUAGUCUGGAAAAGAGAUGUCUGCAGAAAGAAGCGUUUUCUGGCCCUUUGGCUGCGCAGGGGCCGUGGCAAAGAGGAAGGGGCUGAUGCUGUUCCUGGGCCACCAGGAGCUGCUGUGGCCAAGCCCUGGCCUUGGGGCUGCAAAACCCCAUCAGUCUGAAGAGCACUGGGACAAUGGGGAAGUGCACCAAAACCA